AUUGAACGCUGGCGGCAUGCCUUACACAUGCAAGUCGAACGAGACCUUCGGGUCUAGUGGCGCACGGGUGCGUAACGCGUGGGAACCUGCCUUUAGGUUCGGAAUAACUCAGAGAAAUUUGAGCUAAUACCGGAUAAUGUCUUCGGACCAAAGAUUUAUCGCCUUUAGAUGGGCCCGCGUUGGAUUAGCUAGUUGGUGGGUAAAGGCCUACCAAGGCGACGAUCCAUAGCUGGUCUGAGAGGAUGAUCAGCCACACUGGGACUGAGACACGGCCCAGACUCCUACGGAGGCAGCAGUGGGAAUAUUGGGACAAUAGGGCGGAAAGCCUGAUCCAGCCAUGCCGCGUGUGUGAUGAAGGCC
rnacentral:rRNA from 1 species